GAAAAAUAUCAUCAUGCCUACAUCCCCGUUUCUCCAUCAUUCUCUUCAUUCCCACCUCCACCUUUUUAGCAAGAUCUGCCACUUUCUUCUUCAAAGAGCGCACCUCAUGAUGAAGUGAUUCUACAGUAAUCACUCCCCCUGAGCUUGAAGAUCCCUCACGCUCUGCUCAAGGUGGAGGUGCUGAACUAGAAGCUCCUCUGGAUGAUCCUUUAGUUUGCUGAAAAGUCUUCAGUGUGCUUCUUGACUUGGCCCAGAUUACAGCAUCAAUCGGUCCAAGUCCAAUGUCAUACUUGUCACACGACACGUCAACUCCGUGUUCUUGAAGAAUCCUCGUAAUCAACAACGGAAACGGAAGUAGAUCACGUCGAACUUGAGACUAUAUAACAUGUGCCAUUCUUUGCCACAUCAGAAAAGGAAUAUUGAUAUUUAACCCGUCCGCUUCCUCAGGAUGUCCAAGAAGAUAUAGAAGCACCAGACGAACCCAACGAAUCCUUUUUGUUCCAAUUGUAGUUUGAACAUUAUAGCUCAUCACCAAGGAGAGUAGAUGAUACUCGGGUAGCAAAUCCUUGGAUUCCACGUAUGAAUGAUUUGUCCUCACGCCUUCCUUGCAUAUAGCUCGAAUAACAGUCUCCCAGUGGGUCAAAGACUGAUAAAGCCCUGUCGUAUAGUGAAGGCCGGUAGUAUCAACAUGCAUCCCUAAGUGCUCUCCAAUCGUGUAAGGAGUGACUUGAAUCUUCUGCUUACGCACAUAUGUCUCAAACACAUAAGUCCCAGU
rnacentral:lncRNA from 1 species